ACUCCACUACUAACCGUGUAUGAGAUAAACCCCGCCUCCCUACUAACCUAAUAUCAAAUAUACACGGUUUUCACGUGGACGCGUCUUUUAUGGAAUCAACAAUAAACAGUAUGUACUGUGAUUAGAACUAGACUAAAUCGAUUAAAGCAUUAUAUUCCAAAAAAAGGUAUAUAUUUAUUUUAUAAUGAAUAUGUACUUCCUCUUUUUGACUAUUGCUGUACAAUAUGGACUGAAACAAGUAAUCUGAAUAUGGAAAAAUGUUAAAAGUACCAAAAAAAAAGAGCAGCCAGGAUCAUUCUUAACAAAGCAUAUGACACACCGUCAAAAACUUUAUUUUAAAAAUUAGGAUGGUUAACUUCACAUAUCACAAAGGAGUAUUAAUGUAUAAGUGUGUAAAUAGUCUUGCACCUGAUUAUCUUUAUCAAUUACUUAUCAAUAACCAAAAUGUUAAUGCAAGAUAUUCUUUGCGUUCAUCGGACAAUAAUUGUCUUUUCAUAAAACGAUUCUGUAUGUUUUUCGCCUUUUGUUUUGCAUAAAAAGUAUGUAUGUAAAUGUAUAUAUGAUAUUAUUGUAUAUUUUGAAUUAUUCAGAGGGCAUCAGGGGAGAUUAGUAUUGUACUAACUGAUUUUACCAUCUUUUGAUAAAGUUUUUAUUAUUAUUGAAUUAUAAACGGUGGUGUUAUACUUACCGUACUCGCUUAAACUAUGCUGCAUAAUAUUUUUUUAUCAAGGACGCAAGAGUUAUAACAUGCAUAUGAGAGGUAUUUCUUAUUAAUAUGUGUUAUAUGUGCAAGAAGACAGUUUUCGUUACAUGGUCAGCAUUAUUUAUAUGCUGAAAAGUGUGGCUGUCUAACUUUCAAGAAUCUCACAUAUCCACUUUUAAUAUGAUGUUCUUAAUAUUGAACACCAUCUGUCAUAAUAGUUCUUAUCAUUUAAUGUAACCAGAAUGAUUCUUUUUUGGAAGAGAUAUUUCUUUCGUGUAACAUACACAAGUUAGACUUUUCG
rnacentral:lncRNA from 1 species